rnacentral:rRNA from 1 species
UACGAAGGGGGCUAGCGUUGUUCGGAAUUACUGGGCGUAAAGCGCGCGUAGGCGGGCAUUUAAGUCAGGGGUGAAAUCCCGAGGCUCAACCUCGGAACUGCCUUUGAUACUGGGUGCCUUGAGUACGGGAGAGGUGAGUGGAAUUGCGAGUGUAGAGGUGAAAUUCGUAGAUAUUCGCAAGAACACCAGUGGCGAAGGCGGCUCACUGGCCCGUAACUGACGCUGAGGUGCGAAAGCGUGGGGAGCAAACAGG